rnacentral:lncRNA from 1 species
AUUAAAAGCAUGACUAACAUUUUGCUUAAAGACACUAUUGUUCUGGUUCAUAGGAGCACGUGCAUGUUUAACACUUUGAGAAUAUCAGCACGAAGGUUUCCUCACAUCCCUGUGCCAGCCUGCGCUCUUCACAGCCUCAAUCCUGCCCAGGCUAUCUUCUCAUUCGUGUCGAACAUUGCCAUUAAAGAACUCUGCACUGAUGACUCAAGUACUAUUGCAUAAUGUUCCCGAUUUAGAUGAGACCACCCGCAGUCUUUUG